rnacentral:rRNA from 1 species
GCCAGACUCCUACGGGAGGCAGCAGUGGGGAAUAUUGGGCAAUGGGCGCAAGCCUGACCCAGCAACGCCGCGUGAAGGAAGAAGGCUUUCGGGUUGUAAACUUCUUUUGACAGGGAAGAGUAGAAGACGGUACCUGUCGAAUAAGCCACGGCUAACUACGUGCCAGCAGCCGCGGUAAUACGUAGGUGGCAAGCGUUGUCCGGAUUUACUGGGUGUAAAGGGUGUGUAGCCGGGUUGACAAGUCAGAUGUGAAAACCAUGGGCGCAACCUGUGGCCUGCAUUUGAAACUGUUUUUCUUGAGUACUGGAGAGGCAGACGGAAUUCCUAGUGUAGCGGUGAAAUGCGUAGAUAUUAGGAGGAACACCAGUGGCGAAGGCGGUCUGCUGGACAGCAACUGACGCUGAGGCGCGAAAGCGUGGGGAGCAAACAGGAUUAGAUACCCCAGUAAAG